rnacentral:tRNA from 1 species
GGCCUGGUGGUGUAGUUGGUUAUCACGUUCGCCUCACACGCGAAAGGUCCCGAGUUCAAACCUCGGCUAGGUCA